AUGCUGGACAGCACUUGCUACCAGCUCCCCUGAUCCACUGUGAAGUUCAGGGUCCUCUGUGUGUGUGGGUAGACUGGGGUGGGGGAUGAAGGAGAGGAGGUCCAGUUUCUGCUUUUAUGAUGUUGCAGCCUAGCCUGGAAAGCACGGUAGUUGGGGACAGUGCUGGGCUGGCCAUCACCUGAGCGAUGCCCAUCUGGGAAGGCCAUGGGGCGUGGAAUGUAGCUUUUAAGCCAUGAGCUGCUCAGGGGCAUGAUCAACAUGAUCUUAGGGUGGUAUUCUCUGAGGGUGGCUGAACUUGUGUCCCAAACAUGUCCCAGAGAAGCAUUUAGGACAAGCUGGGCUGGCUGGGCAGGUCCCCAGGAGCAGUCUUACACGAGGGCCUCCUGUGGGCUUAAGGCCCACAGCCUCCAUCCCAGGUUUCGGGUCUACCUAUCUUCUGAAGCUGCCCACAGGCCUAUCUGUGCGCCACACUGUACUGGGUGGUGGUAAAACACCUUGUCCUGAGUCAUGAUGGUGUCACAGUCAUCCCACUUUACAGCUAAGAAAACACUCUGAGACGUGAGGUGUCAUAUAAAAAGCCAGAAGAACUUAGAGCUAAGGUUGUCAGGGCCCAAAUCAGAUGCCUUUCUGUUCUCCACCCCAGGUAAGCACAAGGGUGACUCAGCUGAGAGCCCUGCCCUCAGUGGAACCAGGAGUCUGAUGGCUGGCCAUCCGAGAGAGAGAGAGAGAGAGAGAGAGAGAGAGAGAGAGAGAGAGAGAGAGAGCGAGCCCUGGAGCCCCAGAUGCCCAUAGACCCCUCCUGCGGAGAAACUGCUGGCUAGUGGUUCUGCAGGGCUACUCAGAGUUCUGAACAAAAUGACAGGGAUGUAAGUGCCCUGACACUGAAGCUGUUUUUCCCAACUAUAAAACAACAGAACACACACACACACACACACACAUGAAAUACAGCCCCAGGUAGUCCAGGCUGGUCUUGAACUCAGUAUGUUGGGAUUAUAGACAUGAGGAGCCAUUGUACCCAGUUCACGUGGAGCUAGGGAUUGAACCCAGGGCCUUGCACAUGUCAAGCAAGCAUCCUACCACUGAGAUAUAGCUCCAUUUUUUUCCUUGUUAGCAUUCAUUCAUAUGUGUGUGUGUGUGUGUGUGUGUGUGUGUGUGUGUGUGUGUGUGUGUGAGAGAGAGAGAGAGAGAGAGAGAGAGAGAGAGAGAGAGAACAUGUGGAGGUUGGAAGAUAACCUGUGGAAGUUGGUUCUUUCCUAUGAUGCAAGUUCUGGGGAUUGAACUCAGAUUAUCAGGCUUGGCAGCAAGCACCUUUACCCACAAAGGCACCCCACCAGCUUCCCAAAUGCCAAGGGAACAAGGGGACAUAUCGUGGAUGGACUUUGCUUUAGUGUGGUAAUUUAUCCAUGUGCAUCGGGCCAGUCCCUGCUUAGAGGGACUUAGAAAUGUUACUAAAACUCUACACAUAGCUAAAACUACUGUGUAGAGAAUCCUGUCUGCGGGGAGCUUGCCACCUAACGAGGAAGCUCAGAGGCCUGUGGUGAGGAGGGCAGGUCAUCACCCCUUCUUCACUGUACGGCAACUACCGGCAUGAACACGGGUUCAUCCGAGGUGAAGAGGGCCUUACCUGAGGGCAGUCAGGGUCUUAAGCAGGGUGUGUGUGGUGAUCUUUACAGCAUCAGGAAGUGGUGAGAGCUGAGCUGCUGUGAGGAACAGGAAGCAGGGGAGCCUUGAGGCUGGGAAAGCCCUCCCUGGUCUCUGUGGCCCCACAGAUUGGCUAUUUGGACCUGGUAGAGGCUCAGAAAAGGGAGACAGAAGGGGCUCAGAACCAGCUGCUUGGGGUCACCCCUCAACUUCCUUCUUCUGUGCUUCAGCCUGUGCCUGGGGAGAGGGCAUUGGUUGGUGCAAUGGCUCUGUGAUUCCUCAGGGCACACCAAGCCUGUCUUCACCCAACCCUGACUCUCAGCAAGCUCGCCAGCCUUGCCUCUGUACCUCUGCAUAGGCCCUCCCGUCUCUGGCAAGCAUUCCGUGCCUUUCUUUCCUUCUUCCCUCACUGAGGAGACUCAGCUCCCUGGCUGACCCACAGUUUCAGCAGGCCUCAACCCUGAUCCCAGGGCCCCAGACCUCGUCCUUCCCUAAAAAGACCAGCCCGGCGUGGCCAGCAGCUUGCCAGGAGCAAGGGUGGACCAUGUGCUAGCAGAGGCCCUCCUUAGCACCGUUUCUGAGCAAGGCCAGAGCCUUUCCAGAGAGGAACGCAAGCAAGGCCUGAUAGGUGACACCAGACAGACACAAAGAUGACCAGUAGCAACCGAGGACUCUCCAGUGUCGCUGGUCCUCAUGCCCUGGACCUUCAGGGCCUGAUUCCCCAGUGUGGAGAGGCUGGUGAGAGCUGUCAACAUCACUCAUGGCCCUCUGAAUGAAUGAGGGCCUGGGGGGUCCCCACUCAGCACAGCUAGGCUGGGGUCAGAAAGAUUGUAGCUACCCUGUGAGCUUGUUGAUCUGGGGCUUUGAACUUUCUUAGGUGGCAGGCUUCAGGCAACAGGUUCUGCUUAAAUGCACUUGAGACUUUCUCUAGAGGGACAGAGACCACAGUGCCUCCUUCUCAGCUGUGGGCAUGGGUGUGGGCUGCUGAGGAGGGCGAUUUAUCCUGUGGCCAAGCAGCCCUAUAGCACAGAGCAGAGCUAACUGGCCAGCAGUAGCCAAACCUUGAGCCCACUUGGAACACAAAGCCCUCCACUCCUGCACUUUGAUUGGAAUCCAAAUUAGACUCCUUGAUGGCUUUCUCCAGGGUAUGGAGACAUCUGUGUUCUACUCAAACAUCUGGUAGAGUUCUUGGUUUCAGCCUCUAAAGUGUCUUCUGACACACACACACACACACACACACACACACACGUAUACACACAUACAUACCAUGUGCAUUGUAACCUCCCACAGACACACACACACACAGAGGUAUGGGCAAAUAUAAGCACACAUAGGAUGAUACACAGUCUAUAAGGAGUUAGUACAUUUAUUUAUUGUGUGUGUGUGUAUGUGUGUGUAUGCAAUGGGGCAUAUGUAGAGGUCAAAAGACAACUUAUAGGAGUUAGUUCCUCACCCUUUCUAAGACAGGGUCUCUGUAGUUUGGGCUGUCUUGAAACUCGCUAUGUAGAGCAGGCUGAGCUUGGACUCGUGGAGAUCCUCCUGCCUCUGUAUCUUGAGUGCUGAGACUAAAGGCACAUUUAGAACGCCACGCUUGGCUGUUUGCUCUUUCUACCGUAUGGGUCCUGGGGCUCAAACCCAGGUUGUCAGGUUCCAUGGCACAAGACUGUACCCUGAGCCAUCUCUCCAGCCUGUGGCUACCCUAACUUCCUCUUCAAAUGUGUCCAAAUAUCUGCCCACCAUUAUUGCAUAACACCAAGAGGUGUUUACACACACGUAUGUCCUUCAGCAACCUGUGGUUAGUGACUGACACACCACACCCAGGCCUUGCUACUGUAUCCCCAGCCCACAACCUGUGAUAUCCGGUAGCUAGCAAUGGCCUCCUUGUUCUCCAGGCUCUUCCUCUCAAAGGGCAGACCCUGUAGUCAUCCCUUGGCCUUUGGACCUGGCCAUGUGAGGCUAAGCUCUAUACGUUCUUGGGCAGGAACCAGAUUUUCCUCUUUCUAGACACUUCCACACCUCUGCCCUGACCAGACCUGGACAAUGCAGGGUUGAUGGGUCAGCCAACUGAUGGGGCUGCCAGAGAGCCACUCUGAAAUGUUUCCUAGCCUAGGGUGGACUCAAGUUCUUUUGAGAAACAAUGUGAAAACUUGAUUCCACCAGGUAUCUGGUGUGCUUGUCAGCCAGUGGUCCCACACCCCCAUAGGUGAGUGUCAUCAGGGGCCACACUGAAGGUGGCUCAGCCAGGAGGGAAGGGCUUGGGUAACCAGACACAAAGGGGCCUGUGUGGUGGCACAGACCUCUGACCCAGCCUUCAGGAAGCAGGCUGAAGGACACAAGCAAGCUUGAGGCCAACCUCAUCUCCAUGUUGAGCUACAGGCUAGUCAGAGCUACAUAGCUUAAGCAAACAGGUAAAAACAAUAAAAGGUGGGUGACAUGAAUCUGCGGAUAGAGGCUGCCAAGCCUGACAACUUGAGUUUGAUCCUUGGACAGACUUUUGCAAGUUGUCCUUUCUCUCCUGUAUGAUAGGCACAUUCACACACAAAGGGAAUGAAUGAAUGAGUAAAUGAA
rnacentral:lncRNA from 1 species